rnacentral:lncRNA from 1 species
AUGGCUGUGAUUGCCCACCAUAGCAAGCGCAGGCUGUCUGAGCAGGCCAUCCUUGGAUGCCCAAAUGGCUCGGCAUCAGGACUCAGCCCACCCUUGGGUGAAGGGCACCCGUCUCCCUUUGCCGAUCACUGUCCCCAUGAAGAAGAGCUGGGUCUCUUUCCUGGGUGCUGGCUGAGAGAGGUGGGUCCCAGUGCCCGGCUGUGCCGCCUGCGCACUGCUCCGGCACCAGGCGCCCCUCCUCAGCGGCUGUGCCAGGGUCGCCAUGGCAACGGCAUAAUGGAUUUGCCCUUAUUCAGUCCCAGAGGCCGCAUCGAAGCGCGACGCAAAAUUUGCCGGAGCCUGAAUUCCUUUCAAGUCAUGGCUCGCGUGUCAGGAAGCAAGUUGAUGCGCAGGCAGCGAAUCACUGAGAGAUCAGGAGCCAUGCAUGUUCUUCACAUGGGUUUGUGCAGGCACACAUCUCACCACCAGCGUUUUUCCAAGGGACAUAGUUUGGCAACCUAUUGACCUUGGGAUGCUCCUCCAGGGUAAAAUGCAUCCAGAAGUGUUCCUGGUCUUUUCCGUAUCUCAUGGCACCAGAGCUUUUUCAUCCUUCUAAACCUUGUGCCUGAAGUUGUCCCUGAAAUUUCACUGUUCUGUGGGAGGGACUGAUGAGACCUGAACACAGCCGUCAGAGGGAGCAUACACUCGAUUUACAUAAUGACUCAGCAAUGUGCUCUUCCUGCCAAGAAGACUAACAAUAUUCUUGGCUGCAUUAGGCAGAGAACUGCCAGCAGGUCAAGAGAGGUGAUCCUUCCCCUCCAUUCAGCACUGGUGAGGCCACACCUGGAGCAUUGAGUCUGGUUGUGGGCCCCCCAGUACAAGAGAGACCUGGACAUACUGGGCAGUAUCCAACAAAGGGCCACAAAUAUAAUGAAGGGCUUGAAGGAGUCUUCAUCCUGUGAGGAGAGGCUGAGAGAGCUGGGACUGUUCAGCCUGGAGAAGAGGAAGCUGAGGGGGAUCUUAUCAAUGUGUAUAAAUACCUGAAGGGAGGGUGCAAAGAGGAUGGAGCCAAGCUCUUUUUGGUGGUGCCCAAUGCCAGGACAAGAGGCAAUGGGCACAAACAGGAACACUGGAGGUUCCAUCUGAAUAUCAGGAAGCACCUCUUCACUGUGCUGGUGUUGGAGCACUGAAAUCAUAUCUCCCUCCCUGUAGGCCUUCAAAAGCCACCUGGACGUGGUCCUGGGCAACCUGCUGUGGAUAUCCCUGCUUGUGUUGGACCAGGUGUCCUCCAGAGGUCCCUUCAUUCUCAGCCAUUCUGGGAUUCUGUGAUUGCAUUGGGGUCUCACAUGUGUUGUUCUUUAAUUUGUUCUUGACGAAUCCGUACACCCUGGCAGUAUUGCUGACUGCUACUGUUGCUGAGCUCAGGUCUUUAUCCCUUUGUCCGCAGUGAUGACUCCCAGGUGACUUAACGUGCUUUGGAAAAUUAUACACUAGGUCUAUUUUCUGAAUAUAUGCACUUAAUUACUGAUAUCUCCACACAGCACUCUUUGCGAGAACAAUGAAUGAGCUCUGUCGGGUACUGAAAUAAGUAUACUCACUGCAGAUGUGCCCUGUAGACAUGCCCUUAGCAUGUGAAAAAUAAUGCAUGAGUGGUACAGCCUGUACCCUCUCACAGUUCAGCUAGCAACUAUGAGCUUCACCUGCCAAACUGCUGCCCCAUGUUCAUCCUGCUUUCCUGAGCAUCGGAAUUUCCUCUAAAUUUUUUCAUUGUUUGCAUAACAAUAAAGUGAGGUUAUUUAAAGAGCUCUAACUCA